CUGGUACGUUCCUUGCAGUAAUGGAAGGAUCCUCAGACUGUUAGUGGCUUGCAGCCCCGUCCUUUCUCACGGUGCUGGGCAGUGCCAUCCAGCUGCAGCCACCAGUCAGCCAUGAAAUCAUGCAGAGAAACAACCGACACUUUCUAAUGGGCUGCGAUGCUAAGCUAGAACAUCCUGUAGUUACCAGCAUCCACUGCGGGAUCUUCAGUUUUCAAUGGGAUUAUGGAGAUGUUAUCCAAUUGGUGACCUUGCUGGAGAAGAGUGUCUUUGUCCAGCUUUAAGGCUUCCUAUGCUCAAGUCCCACCCAGUGUGGAAGAGAUUCUUCUCCUGGCUGCCUGCAGCAGACAGUCGUCUUCUGCCUCCCUUCAGAUCAAGUAGAACUCCCAGCUCCACUUCAGUACCAUGUCUGCCUGGACGCUGCCAUGCUUCUUGGAAUGAUGAUAGUGGACUGAACCUCUGAAACUGUAAGCCAGCCCCAAUUAAAUGUUGG
ensembl:lncRNA